rnacentral:lncRNA from 1 species
CAAAAGGAUAUAUGUGAAGUUCAUUGAAAAUGCAAACAAAAAGGAAUAUGUCAGAGUGUGUUCCAAAAAGCCAAGAAAUAAGCCUUCACAAACUGUCAGAAAUAUUCCAUCUAAACCAAGUAGUAUCAGUAAAACUUCUGACCCACCAGUAUCAAAAACUACAACUAUAAAAGCCCCUUCUACAAAACCCAAAGCGAAACAGCUCAAAGUAAAGGCUGAGCCACCACCAAAGAAAAGGAAGAAA